rnacentral:lncRNA from 1 species
AGGGGCCAAAAAAGGGCCCAAAUAAGCAUUUUCUUGGUUUUCGCACUAUAACUUUAGUUUAAGUUAAUAGAAAUCUAUGAAAUUUUGACACAAGGUUUAUCACCACAAAAGAAAGGUUGAGAUUGAUUUUGGGAGUUUUGGUUCCAACAGUUUAGGAAUUAGGGGCCAAAAAGGGACCCAAAUAAGCAUUAUUCUUGGUUUUCACACAAUAACUUUAGUUUAAGUAAAUAGAAAUCAAUGAAAUUUAAAC